rnacentral:rRNA from 1 species
GCUGCCCUCUUUCUUCGUGCCUAAUACAUGCAAGUCGAGCGAACAGACGAGGAGCUUGCUCCUCUGACGUUAGCGGCGGACGGGUGAGUAACACGUGGAUAACCUACCUAUAAGACUGGGAUAACUUCGGGAAACCGGAGCUAAUACCGGAUAAUAUAUUGAACCGCAUGGUUCAAUAGUGAAAGACGGUUUUGCUGUCACUUAUAGAUGGAUCCGCGCCGCAUUAGCUAGUUGGUAAGGUAACGGCUUACCAAGGCGACGAUGCGUAGCCGACCUGAGAGGGUGAUCGGCCACACUGGAACUGAGACACGGUCCAGACUCCUACGGGAGGCAGCAGUAGGGAAUCUUCCGCAAUGGGCGAAAGCCUGACGGAGCAACGCCGCGUGAGUGAUGAAGGUCUUCGGAUCGUAAAACUCUGUUAUUAGGGAAGAACAAAUGUGUAAGUAACUAUGCACGUCUUGACGGUACCUAAUCAGAAAGCCACGGCUAACUACGUG